UACGUAGGGUGCAAGCGUUAAUCGGAAUUACUGGGCGUAAAGCGUGCGCAGGCGGUUUUGUAAGUCUGUCGUGAAAGCCCCGGGCUCAGCCUGGGAAUUGCGAUGGAGACUGCAAGGCUUGAAUCUGGCAGAGGGGGGUAGAAUUCCACGUGUAGCAGUGAAAUGCGUAGAGAUGUGGAGGAACACCGAUGGCGAAGGCAGCCCCCUGGGUCAAGAUUGACGCUCAUGCACGAAAGCGUGGGGAGCAAACAGG
rnacentral:rRNA from 1 species